rnacentral:rRNA from 1 species
UACGGAGGGUGCAAGCGUUAUCCGGAUUCACUGGGUUUAAAGGGUGCGUAGGUGGGCAAGUAAGUCAGUGGUGAAAUCUCCGGGCUUAACCCGGAAACUGCCAUUGAUACUAUUUGUCUUGAAUACUGUGGAGGUCAGCGGAAUAUGUCAUGUAGCGGUGAAAUGCUUAGAUAUGACAUAGAACACCUAUUGCGAAGGCAGCUUACUACGCAGAUAUUGACGCUCAUGUACGAAAGCGUGGGGAUCAAACAGG